UGGCUUGUGGCGCAACGGUAGCGCGCGGCACUGUUAAUGCCAGGGUUGUAGGUUCGAGUCCUACCAAGCCAG
rnacentral:tRNA from 1 species